rnacentral:rRNA from 1 species
GACGAACGCUGGCGGCGUGCCUAAUACAUGCAAGUAGAACGCUGAAGGAGGAGCUUGCUCUUCUGGAUGAGUUGCGAACGGGUGAGUAACGCGUAGGUAACCUGCCUGGUAGCGGGGGAUAACUAUUGGAAACGAUAGCUAAUACCGCAUAAGAGUAGAUGUUGUAUGACAUUUGCUUAAAAGGUGCAAUUGCAUCACUACCAGAUGGACCUGCGUUGUAUUAGCUAGUUGGUGGGGUAACGGCUCACCAAGGCGACGAUACAUAGCCGACCUGAGAGGGUGAUCGGCCACACUGGGACUGAGACACGGCCCAGACUCCUACGGGAGGCAGCAGUAGGGAAUCUUCGGCAAUGGACGGAAGUCUGACCGAGCAACGCCGCGUGAGUGAAGAAGGUUUUCGGAUCGUAAAGCUCUGUUGUAAGAGAAGAACGAGUGUGAGAGUGGAAAGUUCACACUGUGACGGUAGCUUACCAGAAAGGGACGGCUAACUACGUG